rnacentral:rRNA from 1 species
GUGGAUUAGAUACCCUGGUAGUCCACGCCCUAAACGAUGUCAACUGGUUGUUGGGGAUUCAUUUCCUUAGUAACGUAGCUAACGCGUGAAGUUGACCGCCUGGGGAGUACGGUCGCAAGAUUAAAACUCAAAGGAAUUGACGGGGACCCGCACAAGCGGUGGAUGAUGUGGAUUAAUUCGAUGCAACGCGAAAAACCUUACCUACCCUUGACAUGUACGGAACCCUGCCGAGAGGUGGGGGUGCCCGAAAGG